ensembl:lncRNA
AUGUCUGCUCACGUCUCCUCCCCAGCCACAGAGCGGGAGAGGAGCCGUUUUGAGGGAACUCGCCUGGUGGUCUUCCGGGGAACCAGGGGAGGUCGCAGAGGAAGGAGUGGUCGAGAGGAGGUUCAACAUCGCUCUCAACCAUGGCCCCCCUUCGACCCUGGGCUCGUGUGUGACGGAUCAGAGCCACUGUCUCACCAUGGCGGACGGAGAGAGGAAGAGAAGCGCAGGUCCGCCAUGGUGGCGCCACUGCCCAUGAUGACCGCAGGGCCAGCGCCACGAGGCCAGACGGUCGCCAGCCCAGCGCCAAUGCCCAAGAGGGCCGCGGAGACAUUGUUGGAUUACUUUUCCAUGUUGAACCAGAUCUUAGAGAUUCCCAGGAGUGUUCACGUCCCGGCUGCGGAGCCAGCGCCAAGGUCCAAGAUGGCCACCAGCCCAGCGCCACAGCACAAGAGGGCCGCCAGCCCAGCGCCACAGCACAAGAGGGCCGCCAGCCCAGCGCCACAGCACAAGAUGGCCGCCAGCCCAGCGCCACAGCACAAGAUGGCCGAAUCUGCACCAGUGUCGCCAGACAAGAUGGCCGACUCAACGCCUGAGUCUCCAGACAAGGUGCCACCGAUUCGCCAUCAUAGAGGGUGGAGGAGGAGGGGACAGGCGUCUACCGUUUCUCAAAGCCCAGCGGAGGUUCCCGAGCAGCCCGCUGCCGUCCCGGAGGCCGUUCCCGAGCAGCCCACUGCCGUCCCGGAGGCCGUUCCCGAGCAGCCCGCUGCCAGCCCGGAGGAGGUUCCCGAGCAGCCCGCUGCCGUCCCGGAGGCAGCACCUGAGGCAGAGGCCGAUACGGAGGCCGAGGCGGUGCCCGAUGCCGAGGCGGUUCCUGAGGCCGUUCCUGAGGCAGUGCUCGAUCCGGAUGCCGAGGCGGUGCCCCAUGCUGUUCCGGAGGCCGAAGCAGUGCCCGAUGCUGUUCUGGAGGCCGAGGCGGUGCCCGAUGCUGUGCUGGAGGCCGAGGCGGUGUCCGAUGCGGUGCCCAAGGCCGAGGCGGUGAACAAGGCGGGGUCCGAGGCCAUUCCCGAGGCGGUGUCCGAUGCGGUGCCCGAGAUGGUGCCUGAAGCCGAGGCACUUCACGUCUCCACAGGCCGUCCAGAGCACCUUCACGUCUCCACAGGCCGUCCAGAGCACCUUCACGUCUCCACAGGCCAUCCAGAGCAUCUUCACGUCUCCACAGGCCGUCCAGAACACCUUCACGUCUCCACAGGGGCCCCGGAGUGGCAGGUUCCGUCCUGGCCGCUCAAAUGCGGGUUCUUCCCUGGCCGUCUGCACAACCUGAACUUUCGGGUCCACCCUGGUCCCCUAAACUGA